GAUGAACGCUGGCGGCGUGCUUAACACAUGCAAGUCGAACGGAAAGGCCCAAGCUUGCUUGGGUACUCGAGUGGCGAACGGGUGAGUAACACGUGGGUGAUCUGCCCUGCACUUCGGGAUAAGCCUGGGAAACUGGGUCUAAUACCGGAUAGGACCACUUCUUGGACGUUGUGGUGGAAAGUUUUCUCGGUUUGGGAUGAGCUCGCGGCCUAUCAGCUUGUUGGUGGGGUAUUGGCCUACCAAGGCGUCGACGGGGAGCCGGCCCGAGAGGGUGUACGGCCACAUUAGGACUCAGCGACGGGCCAGAGUCCUACGGGUGGCAGCAGGGGGGAAUAUUGCACAAUGGGCGCAAGCCUGAUGCAGCGACGCCGCGUGGGGGAUGACGGCCUUCGGGUUGUAAACUCCUUUCGCUAGGGAAGAAGCGUUUUUGUGACGGUACCUGGAGAAGAAGCACCGGCUAACUACGUG
rnacentral:rRNA from 1 species